rnacentral:rRNA from 1 species
UACAGAGGUCUCAAGCGUUGUUCGGAUUCAUUGGGCGUAAAGGGUGUGUAGGUGGCGCCGUAAGUCGGGUGUGAAAUUUCGGAGCUUAACUCCGAAACUGCAUUCGAUACUGCGGUGCUUGAGGACUGGAGAGGAGACUGGAAUUCCACGUGUAGCGGUGAAAUGCGUAGAGAUGUGGAGGAACACCAAUGGCGAAGGCAGCCUUCUGGGCCAACACUGACGCUCAUGCACGAAAGCGUGGGGAGCAAACAGG